rnacentral:rRNA from 1 species
GAUGAACGCUGGCGGCGUGCCUAAUACAUGCAAGUCGAGCGAACAGACGAGGAGCUUGCUCCUCUGACGUUAGCGGCGGACGGGUGAGUAACACGUGGAUAACCUACCUAUAAGACUGGGAUAACUUCGGGAAACCGGAGCUAAUACCGGAUAAUAUAUUGAACCGCAUGGUUCAAUAGUGAAAGACGGUUUUGCUGUCACUUAUAGAUGGAUCCGCGCCGCAUUAGCUAGUUGGUAAGGUAACGGCUUACCAAGGCAACGAUGCGGAGCCGACCUGAGAGGGGUCAGCGCCCCACGGGAAAUGGGACCCGGCCAAGACCCCACGGGGGGGCAGGAGGAGGGAAUUUCCCGAAGGGGGCGAAAGCCUGACGGCGAAACCGCGGGGGGGUGAAGAAGGUUUUGGGGUUGUAAACCUUUUUUUUUGGGGAAAAAAAAAUGUGUAAUUAACUAUCCCCGUUUUGACGUUCCCAAAACAAAAAGCCCCCGCUAACCACG